rnacentral:rRNA from 1 species
CGCGGCCUAUCAGCUUGUUGGUGAGGUAACGGCUCACCAAGGCCACGACGGGUAGCUGGUCUGAGAGGACGAUCAGCCACACUGGGACUGAGACACGGCCCAGACUUCUACGGGAGGCAGCAGUAGGGAAUCUUGCGCAAUGGGCGAAAGCCUGACGCAGCAACGCCGCGUGGGGAUGACGGCUUUCGGGCUGUAAACCCCUUUCAGCAGGGACGAAACUGACGGUACCUGCAGAAGAAGCCCCGGCCAACUACGUGCCAGCAGCCGCGGUAACACGUAGGGGGCAAGCGUUGUCCGGAAUUAUUGGGCGUAAAGAGCUCGUAGGUGGUUCGGUAAGUCAGGUGUGAAAGGCUGGGGCUCAACCCUAGGACCGCACCUGAUACUGCUGUGACUCGAGUCCGGUAGAGGAGUGUGGAAUUCCUGGUGUAGCGGUGAAAUGCGCAGAUAUCAGGAGGAACACCAGCGGCGAAGGCGGCACUCUGGGCCGGUACUGACACUGAGGAGCGAAAGCGUGGGGAGCAAACAGGAUUAGAUACCCUGGUAGUCCACGCCGUAAACGUUGGGCACUAGGUGUGGGGUCUUAUCAACGGAUUCCGCGCCGUAGCUAACGCAUUAAGUGCCCCGCCUGGGGAGUACGG